rnacentral:lncRNA from 1 species
AGAGAGAGAGAGAGAGGAGAGCGAAGAGACCUUGGUGUUGGUGGUGAGGAGAAAAUGAAGCACUGCAAAGGAAGCUCAAAGCCAUCAUCUCAGAUAUCCAUUAACGGAUAAUUGUAGCAGAAUUUUGGCGGUUUGGAAAAUCCCAAGAAGUUGUCAAGGCUGUUGGGGGCAAUUUGGGUUUUCAACAUAUUUCUCAAGACGGUAAGUUGAGCCAUAUAUUUUCACUAAUUUCUUUUUUUUCCUGGGAUAAUCUUAGAGCUGUGUUUUUUAAAAUUGUAGACCGAAGGGAUUGUUUGAUCUUGUAAGCUUAAUCCAUUUGCUGUUCUGUUUAUUCUUUGAUCUUAUAAGCUUAGUCAAUUGGCUGAGGAGAGGCUUUAAGUGUACUUGCGUUCAAGUACAAGGACAGAACAUGAGUAUUUCGAGAUAGUGUAUUCGAGUCCACAUCGACCAGCAUAGCAUAGUAGGAGAACGAAGCUGCUAUAAAAGCGAAUUCCCGACACUGAGUUAAGCAUACCUUUCUCGGCCUUUUGGCUAAGAUCAAGUGUAAUAUAUGUUCUUAUCAGUUUAAUAUCUGAUACGUGAAUCAAUGGUUCACAUGAUAUUAAGUAAUUUUUUUAGGGGGAAGGGUCUAUGCUACUGGGAUCCUUGUGUGUUGCCCAAGCGUUGCAUUAUUGCUCGGGCUGGUGCACCCCACCAAAUUCAAGUGUAAGUUUUUACAGCCUAACAAGUUAAUGACAUUCAAUCCGUGACUUGUUCUUGUAAGUACAUCUUUAAACUCUCUCUCCCGAUGCCAGCUCGUAUCUGCUUUGAGAUUCUCUUCCUUUAAAUUGGCUAGAGGUUUUGCUUCUUAAUUCUCACACAAGGUCUCAAAAGUCUCAAACCAACCAUGAACCAUUUUGGUUUGUCACUUGUAUAUAUUAUCCCCUUUUAUUUCUGAAACUGAAGUUCUAAGAUUCUGAUUCCCAACCGAAGCUAAGCCGCCACCAUAACCACUGUACUUCCUACCCCUCUAACACCCAUUGGCUUUUUGUCAUACAACAACUUAUAUCCUUACGAAUUAUUGCCAAAUGCACAUGCAGUACUAGCAUAUUACACUUAAUAAAACGAUAAGGGGCCUUGACUUCCCCAGAGCAAGAUUGACGCUAUAACAUUCUCAAACAUCAGCUUGGUAUGUCACAAAUCUUUCCAGUUCUUCCAGAUGGAGAGAUAUAAUUCAAGUCCCCAGAUUGCCUUGCGACUUUAGCAGGAAAAUAGUCGGUAGGGUAGUUAAAAUUUCCAUGGUACAUCUUUGUGUCACUGUCAACAGAAGCCAGUACUGAGGGACACAGAUAGCGCGCCAUGGAUAAAACCUUUUCUCCAAAUCUCAGGCUGCCGCCAUCCUUUCAUCAAAAUCACAUGCCCUUUUUUGUAGAUUCACAGGUUCAGCCAUCUACACUCACCCUUGUGCACGCUUUUGCCGUUUGUAAAAGUUGAACAUCCCAUUGUUUGAUUCUUUAGGGAGAGAGCUCAUCACAACGGUUUGCUAUUGGAGCUUUUUCACAUCAUCCAGGUAGUUGCGGAGCCAGCAUGGGAUCAUUGGUUACCCUUGACCCUAAUAACUUAAAAAACUUCAUGUAAAUUUGUUUGUGUAUUGUACAUGACCCUUAUAAACAGCUAAGACAAACUAAAUUACAACCUCUUUUUUCUACUUGUUCUAUCACAUUUGUCUUCAUUUUUUUUUUCUUGUGCGAUCUAUUGUGCGUACCAUGUGCUCGAUGAAAUACCUUAAUUAAAAAGCCUUGACAACCUUCAAUAUUACUCUACAAUAUCAUGCACCCACCCUCUACAAGCUACAAAUAAUAGUAGUUGUCAACAUAUGUUGGCAUAAACUUUCGCUAUAUGUUGACAUGAAUUUGCAGAUUCCUACUAGGUGCUCAAUAAAAUAGCUCAAUAAAGCAUUUUUAGUUGAUAUUAUGAGCUCAUUAUUUAAAAAUCCUAGCUUCACUCUGCAUCCAGGCGUUGCACUGCUGCUCGGGCCCGGCGCACCACACCAAAUCAAAGUUCUAAUAUUUCCCCGCAUAUUUGUUCGAUUUAUUGCUCAGUUUUUGCCUACUUUCAACCUAAUUUACUUAAAGCCCGUUAUCCUUCUUUGUCCAUGAUAAAAUAAAAUAAAAAGAAACAAGUUCUCAAAGCAAAAUUGAAAAAAGAGGAAGCUUUGAUCAUCGAGAAACAAAAUAGAAAAUUGUUGAGGGUCAAGGUUAGGUUUUCAGGUUGAUAUGACCAACCUAACUAGCUACUAACUUAAUUUGUUUGCUAAAUUUCAAUACAAAUUCUCUACACAACGAAGAACCCUAACUAGUACUGAUUAUGCAAAUGUUUACAUUAAUUUGUUUGCUAAAUUUCAUAGAAGUGACAAUUCAUGAAACGAGCGGUAAAGAGAUCGCCUGUUAAAGGUUCUAAGUAGUGAAUGAUGGAAGGAGAAUAGAAAACAAAAUAGAUUCUCAUCCUUCUCUGAGGAUCCAUUUUGGUACAUAAGGAAGGUGCAAUUGGUACAUAGACUGCACAACCAAAGACACGCAGAUGCAAAAUGUCGAGCUUGUAUCUAGUGACCAACUGAAUAAGGAUAACAUUAGAGUCCUAAUUGAUUUUGAUUUCUUGUCUAACCAAUAAGGCUUCUUGAUUAGUUACACAUAAUAAGGACUCCAAAUCUUAAUUAAACGAGAUUGCAUAAGUUCCUCAACACCAAUUAACUCAUUGACCAAGUUAAUUGAUUGCCAAGAAAUUAGUAAGUCAUAUUCAUUGAUAGUCACAACCUUACAGCAGCCACCACUAUCUUCACCACGCACAAAGAAGAACUGGAAGCGUUAUGAGUCGAGAAUUGGCGAAUGAGAAAAUGACAUGAGUAGAAACAAGCUCCUUGACACCCUAUUUGAAUUUUUAGUCCUAUUAUUUGAUAGGAGAUUGCCCUCCUAGUAUAAUUUUAGAUCAUUGGGUUCCAUAUUAUAUGAUCUAUGUUUGAAUUUUAGAUAUUGAGACAAAUAAUAUUAAUGUUGACCAUCAUAUACCCAGUUGGUGGGUUUGUACAAUUAAAAAACUAUAUCAUAUUCAUAAGAGCAACGCUAGGUAGACCAACUUUUUAGACCAUAUUUGCAAACCAUGUGAUGUGUCCUCAAUAGAAGCACAUUAAUCAACACUUAAGUAAUAAUUCAACAAUCAACAAUCACGUCAUAAGGUUUAGAAAAUAUUGUUUAAAGAGAUGGUUUCCCUAACCUUACCCUAUCCAUAACAUAUAAUUUUUUAUACAUACAUUGUUACAUCCUAACACUUAAUUUAAUUAGUAAGCAUUUUCUUUCUAUUGUUGAAAGAGAUUUCUAGCUCGAAUCAUGCAUUCUCUUAUUAAAUAAAUAAAGGGAAUUGUUAUUGGCACUCCAAAAAUCUCAUUCUACACUCCAAACUUUCUAUAUUUGGAAAAAAAAAUACACUUGUGAGGAGUGUAAAAUGAGAUUUUUGGAAUGUUAAUAACACUUCCCUAAAUAAAUGAAUAUAUCAAUAAUAUGUGUGGAAAAGUUUAGGUGUCAUGAUGAUACAAUCCUUUAUAUAUUUCUAUAGCACAUAUUACGUGAUUCCAAGUGAUAAAGAAAAAAAUGUUUCAAAUAUGAGUUCUUGAAAAUAUACAAACCUAAAUAUGCAAAAGCAUCUACAAACCCAAAAUAACAUCUGGGACGGUCAAUGCCAAUGAUAAUUUAGCGAUUUCUGCGUCUUACCGUUGUUCUCCAACGGAUAACGACCUCCUAUCUCAACGUCCCCUACACCCCUGGGACAAGCAACACACACAAUCAAUUUCCAAAGGAUGAAAGAAAAAACAAAGAUACAGCAAAAAUGAAAGCCAAACAAUGCUGGAUUUGUAAUUCUUGCAUCACUUCUUAGAAUUUCCCAGUAUAAUUUUAACCUUUCUUUGAAUUUUAGCUAGAACACCGCAUCCGAAUUUGAUAGAAGAAGAAACAUUAUAAAAAAUCAAAUUUCUUGUACAGGAAGACGAACAUUAGAUUAAUUUUCACCCAUUUUUUUUCCAUAUUUCCAAGUUUUCCUGUACUCUAACACAAUAGACCUUCUUCCUCCCUGACCACUAACCGCUCAAACCCCAUCUCAAAAGAGUUUCUCUUUCCAGCAAUGAUCCACAAAUCCCACAUUUUGUUUCCUCUGGUUUUGUUAUCCUUGUUCUCAUCAAACACCAUUCGUGUUCGAAGCCAAGGCUCCGACUUAAAGUCCCAUAUAAUUUCCUGCGGCUCAUCUGCCGAAGGGGAAACGGAUUCGGAUGGCCGGAAAUGGACAACGGAUUCUACGUACCUCGCCUCCUCUGACAACACGAAGACUGCAGAAGCGGGGUACUAUGACCCUGCUCUGCCAUCCAAAGUUCCAUUCAUGACAGUAAGAAUCAUGAGCUCUGCAACAUCCUACAAGUUCUCUGUCCCAUCAAGCAAACGCCUGUUGGUCAGGUUCCAAUUCUACCCAACCACCUACAACUCCGUAGAUUCCUUCAACGGGGUUUUCGACGUCUCCGCCAACGGGCUCUCCCUGCUUAAAAAUUUCAGCCCUUUCAUCACAGCCUUGGCCCUCACGCAGGCUUACAUCAUAAGAGAGUACUCAAUCGUUCCUGUCCAGUCCGGCACUCUCAACAUCACGUUCACGCCCUCCACAAAGCGCGAAAAAACAUUCGCCUUCGUGAACUCACUGGAGGUUAUCCCAAUGGAAGAAAUCUUCAAGCCGACCGACUUGAUCGGAUUCCGCGGCCAAACGGUCGACGUCCAAAACUCCUCCCUCCAGACAAUGUACAGGCUAAGCGUCGGAGGGGAUUACAUUCCUGCAAUCAAGGACUCCGGACUCGCACGAACAUGGUGGGACGACUCACCGUACCUACUAAAUGCAGCUUACGGGGCCUCGUUUUUCAAUAAGACUUUUCUCGGGGUGUCAAUCGAGGCUCCUGCCAAUGUCACCAUCAAACACACGAAGGAUGUCCCCGAAUAUAUUGCUCCUCUAAAUGUGUACAAAACUGCGAGAUCGAUGGGACCGAACCCUCAAGUCAACGUGAAAUCCAAUCUCACUUGGGUUUUUCAGGUGGACGCAAAUUUCACCUACGUCGUUCGGUUCCAUUUCUGCGACUUUCAAAACACACUGGGGAACCAGAGAACGUUCGAUAUAUAUCUCAACAACCGAACGGCGGAGGAGACGGCAGAUGUGAUCCAGUGGGCCGGGGGAAUCGGAAUCCCGGUUUACAUGGAUUAUGCCACUCAUAUGAACGACAAAGACGGUGAUGAUCUUCUGUGGGUGGGUUUGCAUCCGAGUCUGGCAACGCAUCCGCAGUACUAUGAUGCCAUACUUAAUGGACUGGAGAUUUUUAAGGUUAAUGACACGGGCGGGAACUUGGGGGGUCCAAAUCCUGUGCCUUCAAAAAUGCUUCUUAAGGCAGACGCUGCAGCCCAGAGUUUACUGGCAGACGCUGCCUAGGGUUUUCAAGUGUUGGGUCAUUUUCUGGAAUGGACUCCAAUUCUUUGAUUCACUGGUUUUAAUUCUAAAUUUCGACAGUUUUUAUUCUUAUUUGUAACUUUAAUUUGAGAUGGUCGAUUAUUGUCUGAGUAAAUUUUGAAUGAGGUUUCACCCUAAAUAUAAGCUAACAAUUAUAGUGAAUUUACGUAAAUAUCCUUUUGUCGCGUUUGAAAAGUCUCGAGACAUACAAGUUUUGUAAAUUUGAGACAAUCACAAAAUUUUGAGUGUCUGUAAUUAUUUUGGGUUUUUAUUAACACUUGAUUACACCACGUAAAAUAAAAUAUAAAAUAACUAUUUAGGGUUAUAAGAUUUUUUUUUUAAUAUAUUGUAUGAAUGCACCUUAAAAUUUAGGGAGCUUUAUAUAUAGAGAUAAAAAAUUUCACCAUAUUUCAAGAAACUUUACUAGUUUUUAAACAUGUCAAGAAGAGAUAAAAAUAUAAAAACAACUAAAGCCCAACUCAAAAACAUGGAAACAAUGUUUUAAAAUACCAGUCAUACCCAUAAGGUUUUAGAGUUAUUAAUAAACUUAUUCCUUCACAACUCCAACAAGAUUAAUAUGUGCCAUAAGCUAAAUCCAUCAUCGACCAUUUUUGCAUAAUCAAUUCAACCCGUAUUCGACUAUUUUUGCAAAAUCAGUUCAACUUAUCCUUGACCAUUUUGGCAGAACCAGUUCAACCGAUCCUCGACCAUUUAUGCAGAAUCUGUUCAAAAUCGUCCUCGAUAAUUUUUGCAGAACCAAUUCAACCCGUCCUCAAUUAAUUAUGAAGAAUCAGUUCAACCCGUCCUUGACCAUUUAUGCAGAAUUAGUUCAACCCCUCUUUAACCAUUUUUGCAGAAUCAGUUCGACCCGUCCUCGAUAUUUAUGCAGAAUUAGUUCAACUCGUCCUCAACCAUUUUUGUAAAAUCAGUUCAAUCUGCCUUCGACUAUUUUUCCAGAUCAGUUCGUCAGGCAGAAUUAGUUCAACCCGACUAUUUUUGCAGAAUCAGUUCAACCCGUUAAACUCGUCAUCGACCAUUUUUGCAUAAUUAGUUCAACCCAUCUUCAACAUUUUUUUGCAGGAUCAGUUCAACCCGUCAUUGACCAUUUUUGUAGAAUCAGUUUCAAAUAAUUUGACCCUAGUAAAAGUUAGCUCAAUAACACAACUGUUAUAAUCUAGGUAAAUAGUGAACAAAGAGAGAUAUCCUUAAAGCCAAAGUAGAAGUCUCACUCCCUCAUAAAAACCUUACAAAAAGAACAAUAAAUGCUAUCUUAAUUUUUCCAGUACUAUGAACAAUAAAAAUGAACAAGAGGAAAAUACAAAAAAUAAAAGGAAAACUAAUGAAAAGGGUUUGAAAACUUUGAGUUUUAAUGAUAAGGACAAAAUAAAGGGUAAAGUGAAUAGUAUCAGCAUUGACUUUUUAGUAUAAAAAUGUGGUUUUUCGUUAAAGUGAACAGUACCAGGUGCUUUUCGUUAAAGUUCCCAAAAAUAAAUCAUUUCUCCAUUAAGUUGUAAAAAAAUAAUAAUAUUGUUUGGUUUGUUUUACCAGAUCAGAGCAUGUGACAAAGAAAUGUACUUAAAUGAGUUUGUAAUAUUCAUACGCAUAGAUACUUUACAUCCAUUAAGGGACAAAAACAUUUCAAUGUUUUUAAUAUUUCAUAUUCUAAUUGGCAUAGCAAUAUAGGAUUACACUUGAAUACAAGGCCAGUGAUCUUGGAGACGAUGGUAGCCUUGCGCUCAUGCAAAUUGGAAUACUAUAUUGCUGUGCAAAUUGGAAUCUGAUAGUAAUUUCCUAUAUUACUAUGCAAAUGUUAAUCUCACUCAUGCUCGAGGGUGAUAGUAAUUUCCAGAUCAGUUUUUACCCAAGCUUGUUCAUUCAACUUUCUCUUUGUAAUUGAACAAAUAAGUCAAAAACUCCAUGAUUCAGAGAAAAUCAACCAAAAACUUAAAAAUUUCAUAUCAAAAUAUGCAGGGAGCUUCAAAAUUGCAAAGCUUACCGUAGCGAUCAAAUUGGGAGGACGUGAAGAGUAGGAGAAAGUCUUUGGAGUUCCUGAAACUGAUUUGGACAGAGACUUGAGUUAAUUUGGAGAGGAGAUGGUGAGGAUGGAAGAAUUGAGGUUGAGAUGGCGAUGAAGGGAAAUCGGGUCAAUUUUUAAGAGAGAGAGAAACAAGGGAGCAACAGAUGAGUGAGAUAAUAGCAUUUUCUCCAUUAUUAUGUUUUUUCAUUAUCUCACUCCCCAAUUCUUCCACAACUAUGAUUCUCUCAAUUUCCUUCUUUUCCUACUUUUACUUAUUAGAUUCUGAACUCGAUCCCAUUAUGCGAUUAAUUUAUCUUUAUCUGAUCAAGAAUGAAUUAUUAGCCUUGGAAUGAUUCGUAUUUAUUCAGGGCUUAUUCUGACGUUUGGCAAUUUUAAUUUGCAUAGGACUCAACCGAGCCACACAUGCACUUAAUCCUCUCACAAUCUUACUCCCAUGAUGACUCAGUUGAAUCCUCUCUUGGGCUAUAAGCCCACCGGUCUAAGGGAUAUUUACUAGAAUUCUUAGCCUUUUCAACUCAGGUCAGCCCAUUCUUGACCCAAACUGUUAUUUUAGGCCAAAAAAUAUAGGCUUAAAUGUCAAAGUGGUCCCUGUAUUAUAGUCAUAUGGCCAAUUUAGUCCCCGUGUUUUUUAUUUGGCUAAUUUAGUCCUCGUGUUUGUCUAUGUUAGCCAAUUAAGGACAUUUCAUUCAAUCUCUUUUAAAAAAUUCAUAAGAAAAAUUAUAUGAUAUAUAAUUACCGUUUCUCUUUACAGAACAAUGAAAGUCGAUGAGAAAUAACUUAUAAAAGAGAUAAAACUUCCAAUCUGAAAAAUGAUUAAGGUUGUGACAUAGAAAAGAGGGGGUAAUGUUAGGGAGGAGGUCGGAGAGUUGGGAGGAGAAUAUUUUUUUUUAAUUUUUAAUUUUUAAAUAUUUUAAACAAAUAAAUAAUUUUAUAAAUAAGUUUAUAAUCAUUUAUAUAUAAAAAAAUUCAUAAAUUAGAUGGAAUAUCCUUGAUUGGCUAACGGAGAUAAACACAAUGACCAAAUUGGACAAAUUGAAAACAUAGAGACGAAAUUGACCCAAUAACUAAAACAAAAGGACCAUUUUAACAUUUAAGCCAAUAUAUGAAUUAUGUUAUUAAUGCCCUUUUAUGGGCCAUAAGCAUUUAACCCCCUUUUCAAUUAGCAAACAAGGAAUUAAUGCGCUUGAAUCUUUAUUUUCGGCCAUAAGCAUUAAUGCACUUUGUUUUGCUAUAGUUUAAACUAAUUUAUGUAUAGAAUUUAGAUAAAACUAAAAAUUUAUAAAUUGACAUGAGAGAAAUAAACUUGAAAUUUAGAUAAAAGUCAGAAUUUAUAAAUUGACAUGCAUAAAUUCCUUUGUUUGGAUUCAUAAACAUAGAAAUUUAGAUUUUCAAUGUGAAAGGAAAAAAAAACUUGAAAUUUGGGACCUCCAAUUCUCAAGUUUAAAUUUCACAUAAAUAGGUGUCAUUUCUCAAUUUUUAUGAUUGAGAGUUUAAAAAUAACAAUUCCGUAUUCAAUUCCAUUAUUCUUUUAGGUUAACCAAAUAAGAAAUUCACAAAUUAUAGAAAAUAAAAUCCUGUCAUUUUAAUUUCCUCCAUUUUAAAAUUCUUUAGUUAUCUUAAAUUUCUUUAUUCAGACAGAGUGUAAGAGAAAUGCUAAAAGUGAGACUUUCCAUAAAUACUCUGGCACCUCAUGUUUUUGACACAAUAUUUGACAUGAAGAGUAUCACUUUGAGAAAAUCUCUUAACAUUCCUCUUAAACUAAAAUAAUCGAUAUCUUAAUAAUUGUUUUCCUUUUUUCGGUCAUGAGCAAUAUUUAACCAGUAAAGAUGCAUAGCAUGUGAAUUAAUGGAAAUAAAAAAACCACUAAUUGAAGGGAACUGCCUAAAAAAGUAAUCAAAACGCCCAAAAUUUCCAAAUAAAAUUAUCCUUGGAGUCCAAGUAAGGAAGCAAAUCUCCGGAGUUGAACACAAUCAUACUAAAUUGAUUUGGAGCGAAAAUCAAGAUUCAAUCUCAUUAACAGAAGACCAAAUCAGAAAAGUUUUGAAACCAGUGGAGUGCUAAGUAAUUAAUCUCCCUAAUUGUUGAGGGAAAAAAAACUGAUAUAAACCAAGGAUAAACAGUAGGACCCUAAACUCUUUAGCUAUCCUCGACAACGCUUUCGUCCUCGAUUUCUAGCUAUUUUUCAUUCAAGCACUUUCAGAAUUCAAGUUUACAAGUUUUAAGGUCUCUUAGACACUAUUUUUUUUUGCAAUCUCCUUUAUGUUUACUCUCGAAGUCUCGAUCCGUCUGAUUCCUGCACUUGGUUUGCAUGCGGUUUAAUUCUUUCUUGCACUAUUAGUGGCUUCUCAUGCAUGCACCUUGUAUUUGUUUAGUUUAUAUUAAAAUAGCCGAUAUCCUAUUAAUUCUAAAUCCAUAAGAAGAAAAAAAAAGAAUUUGAGGUUGAAAUUUUUGAUGAUGAAUGCAUAAAAAAACCUUCUCCAAGAAUAUAGAGCAAAUCUAAUUCAUAUAUGUCUUUUUUGGCCUCACUCUCCUUAGGCUACAGCCUUAUUAGCUAGUACUUCGUUCAGUUAUGUUCUGCAUCUAUAGUUUUAUUGUUGAUUGGUUUGUAUCAAGCACUUUUGAAAAAAGCUACUUUCACGAAUCUUGAGAAAUCAACUUUGUUUGCAGGUUUUCUUCCUUGUUUGACUAAAGAAAACAUCAUGGCCUGUUCCCAUUUGUGCUUCGCGUUCAUGACGCUCAUGGUUACAUUCUGCAAUGCACAAGGAUUACAUUCUGGUACUGCAACUCCCAUCUUUGUUUAAUUAUACGUACGUACAUAUAUGUGUGUGUGUGUAUAUAUAUAUCUUCAUAUCAAGUUAUAUUUGUAUAAGAGAGUCAUUCCGUGACGUUUUUCCUUUUCUGCAGCAACAACUUUGCAAUCCCAACAUGCAAACUCAACCCACAGAAAGCUUUUGCAACAAGGUAAAUAUCAAAUAACAAUUUGGUAUUGUUACCGGCACUUCAAAAAUGUCAUCUUGCACUAUAUUAUAAAUUUCUCUUCGAUAGUCCAUGACAAUAUAGUAUGUUGUCUUCAGAAAAUAAAUCAGAUUUUCAACUACUCUUGUUUAAUUGUAACUUGCUACUUAAUUAAUUAGUCUUGAUUUUGUAGCCAGCUGCAGAGCCGAAGAGAUAAGCAUCUCACAGACCCAAAUUCCAGGAACUGGGAUCCCAAAGUACGCAGUAGAGAUUGUGAACACCUGCACUUCUGAUUGUGCUCCUUCACAAAUCCAUGUCCACUGUGGUCAGUUUGCUUCUGCAGAAGUUAUACCCAAAUCCAUCUUCACAAGGAUCGCGGACGAUGAUUGCUUGGUGAUUGGAGGAGAGACGUUGAAGUCGAACGAUGUCAUCAGCUUCACUUACUUCAACACCUUCAAGUUCCCCAUUUCUUUUAAGUCUGCCCAUUUUUGCUGAGCCCCAAACACUUUCAAGUGAUGAUAUGAUAAAGAGUUACAUUUGUUGUCUCAGCUUUUAGUUUUCGAACCCUAGCUAUAAGCUAGUAUUUCGUUUCCGUUAUGUUCAAACCCUGGCUAGUAUUUCAAACCCUAGCUUAGUUUUCAAACCCUAGCUCAAGUUUGUGUGUUCUUUUUUAGAAAAAAAAAAAAAAUUGGCCUCACAAAUAUUGUUUAUUGUUCCUUAGGUCCGUGUUUUACUUUUUGGUACAUUAUGUUUUGGAAUUAAUUUCAAUAAAAUUACAGUUGAUAGAAUUCCACUAGUUUUGAAUUAUUUUAACGAGAGAUAAAAGUCCAAAUCCCAACAAACCUAGUCUAAUAAUUGGAUUUGCCCAAUCGACAGGGUAAUUAUUGCCUUAGCAGUGUGGGCUUGCUCUUACAUCACAAGUCGUCAUUUUACUUUUUGAAACUCAAAAUUCGUUCUACAUUGCCUUGUUUGUGUUAUUUCCGUUAAAAAUGUCAAAUAUACUAAAUAUAUAUCACAUUUUAGUAUCUUACUUACGUGUAACAUGCCACGCAUGAUGUUAUGAGAAAGAUACGAACACAAACUUUAGUCUCAAUCCUCAGCUCAGCCCUAGGUUUAAGGAGUAACUUGCAUAGUAGGACAGUAGCUCACAACGAUUUACAAUAUAUUCAAAAGGAAAUAUCAAAUAUGUGAUCAAAAUCAACCGAGCUUAUAUAUAUGCCAUAUCAAAAUAAAGAACCAGAUUAAAUCUGCAUACAGGCAAGAGCGAUAUUAAACUGAAUGACAUGAUUUUUGGCCAUCUGCAACCAGCCCCAUCACUUCUUCAAAGAAAUAAGAUUGUAUGAGAAGAAAUAAGAUUGUAUUAGAAAAACCACAUUUUUACACUAAAAAGUCAAUCCUUGUACUAUUCAAUUUACCCUUUAUUUUGCCCUUAUCGUUAAAACUCAAAGUUUUCAAGUAUCUUUCAUUAGUUUUCCUAAGAAAGAAAUUACUAAGUAACCGGAAGCAGUGACUCCCUAUGAAAUCAGAAAAUUGGUUUGCAACCCUUCAGAAAAUUGUACAAAUCCUUAAAGUUGAAUCACCAUUGGAGAUUGUUAUUACACCAAAGAGUUUUUUACAGGUAGGGAAAAAGUUACUAAAUCUAAGUAUCAAAUCUUCCCUCCAAUUUCACUGAAAGAGGAAAAUAGAACAAAUUUCUAACCUGAUUCUUCAUCUCCAUUUCUGAGUUGUGUUUUUAAACUUUUAUUGACCUGCUUGUCCAAGUCUUCCUAAACAACCUCUAUACCGCCCCAUCGCCUCUUUCGGGAUGGCCUAUGUAGCUGUGCUUCAGCUGUUUCAACUACAAGAUCAAUCUCAGGCUUGGACAACUUGUCUGGCUCUUUUUUCAGGAUGAUUGGCUCCUUAAACCGUUCCCCGCGUUUCUCCAUUUUUGCCUUUGUCUCAAGAAUCCUUUGGUUGUCAUAUCCUUCUGCAACCUUGUUCCCACUGGAACCGCUUUCUCCGGCAAACGUUCGCCUUUUCACUUUGGAAGCUGCUGCUGAAUACUCAGAAGCAUGUCUUCUCUGUAGGUGUGCUGUAUUGAGGCCGUCUGUUACAAUCUGGCCUUCUUCAACAUCCAUAUCACCAUUUUGAGCUGUAACUGGAAACUUAUCAAGCCCUUUCGCAUUGUUUUGGUUGUGUCCAACUUUUCGGGUGUUAAAUUGGACUGUCCUUGAUUCACUAGAAUCCGCUAAAGUUGUCUGCUCCCCACCAAUCUCUGGAUCCAUAUUUUCCUGCCUACCAUUGUGAAUCAAAGUUCCACGUUUGUAGCUUCUUACAGAGGACUGCAGCGUAAAGCAAGGAAAUGUCAAACAUCUGUAAAAUAUUAGUCAACUAAACAGUAAAACAGCCGAUUGGAAACAUGCAGAAAAUGGACCAUCAACAAAAUUUCGGCAAGUUCCAAAUAUGAUCUUUGGAAACAUUCUUACAAAUAGAAUCCAAAAUAAAUAAAAGAACAGGUACAGCAGUAAAAGAGAAAGACAUCGCACUACGAAAAGUUUAGUAUAUCAAACACUGGAGUUGCAUGUCCAUGUAUAAUGCAACUACAGAUGAACUAAAGACAAACUUUUAAACUCGAACGUCUAGCUUGUAUUCUACAGAAGUUCUGUGGCCACAGAUCCUAUUAAGAAACCAAAAAAAGGGGAUUCAAGGUAAAAAAUGAACCUUCAAUUCUAGCCUUAUGAAUGCCAUAUAUUACCUCAUACGAACAGCUUCAUCAACAAUAAGCAAGUAACAUCUACCACCUAUUGCAUAGAUGGAAGUAAGACCACACUAAGCCCGAAGACCACAAAAUCUAUCCAAAAGGUAACGUUCAUAGUAAUUUCAAGAUGAAUAGGGCCAUAAUAAUCCAGAGGACAUCCAUAUCAAAUUGCCCUUAUGUCUAGAUUGCAAAAUCACAAAACAAGGACAUGUAUAUUAUUACAAUAAUUAAAAUAGUGUACAUCAUCUGCAUAUAAGACAGACCUUGCAACAUCCGUUAAAGUGUCUUCAAAUAGGUGGCAGAUGUAAAAGACUUCAAACUACGGUAAUUAAAGUGACCAUUCAAUAAGUAUCACUUGUGUUCAAAGGAUAUCUAAUCUAUCAAAUCCAGGAGACGGGAACUUUCUUUUUUCCCUUUGAUACUAAGAUUUGAUCUAAGAAACACGAAUAUUUGAUUUUCACAUUGAAUAUUCAGUUGUUAAACUGCCUAACAAAGAUUAAGAGUUCUAAAUUGUCUGUACAUUGUAGGGAUGCUCAGACAAUAGAAAAGAAAGUAAAGAGCAUGACUGUCAGUAGGACAUUGUACAUGGCUGACUGGCAAGUCCUUGGUAGAUGGCCAGAGUUUGAAGUAUAAACAAACAGAGCAUUGAAAUACCAAAGAGACAAAGGCUGCAACUUUUUGACAGCACAAAACAAAGAACCUCAGUAAAUAAAGAACGAAAGAUGAUAGUAAAAUAAGGGAGAAUCCCUUCUGUUUUCUCCUUCGAAUUGGGUAUGGCACAAAAGGAGUCCCACAACAACUGAUGAGAAAAUUUAAAAAAAAUUGCAGACUAACAUUGAAAUCACAUAAACCCAAUGGUGUAAAAAAGAAGACCAAAGUUUUUGAUCAAAUGAACCCUAAUAAAUAAAAACAUAAAUAAACAUGGAAGUAAGAACAUGAAAUUGUACAAAAUACAUAAAAUGAAACUAUAAUAUCUCCUCUAUAAAUGAAAGACAAUUCAUAAAUAUGAAAACCACCCAAAACUAUAACAGUAGCAUGCAAUUACGGGUAGUGUGGAAAAACAAGCAAAUUUGAAAACAAACAAGAGAAUUAAAUAAAAUGUAUGUUGGAUUCAUGCCUUGGGAGCAGCCUCUCCAUAAAUGGGGGUAAGGCUAGCCGACAUUCACCUCUCCCAGACCCUGCGUAAAGCGGGAGCCUUGUGCACUGGGUACGACGUAUGUUGGAUUCAUGCAAGUUUGCAACCUUAAAUACUAUAGAUUCUGCUAACUUGAAAGAUAUCUCAAGAAACACCUAUUAUUAUUAUCCACCAUCCAAUUUAAAACACUAUUUUACUCAAAUAUUUAGCAUUAUCUUUUGAUUUGUAAGGUGUAAAGCAGUCUCACUUGCAACCUCCAUGAAAUCAACAAGCAUGACAAGACAACUUUACCCUGAAAUUCCUGACAGAUAACGAGGAAUAGGAAACAUAUAGAAGAUUAUACAAUAAUGCCUUGAUGAUUGACGGGAAACCUUAUUCCCCCACAUUACAUGCUUGACACACUGGACUACAAGGCCUACCUGAACGGGAACCAACAUUCAAGAACAUACAGGCAACACAUUACUUGACAGAGAGGAAAGUGAAAAUACGAUACAAGAGAAAAGGAAAAAAACAAUUGAGAAAAGGAGCAAAAAAUGCAAUGAGAUAGCAUUAAAAAGAAUAAGAAAGGCUUGCUCAACUCUUGUUGAACACUCAUAUAUACAAGUACAAUGAUACAAGGUUUCACCUUGGGUUCCCCCAACUGUACCUUUCCUUCCCCAACAACCAAGUCAAUCGAACCUCUGCACCUCAGGGCUGUCCGCUCAUGCUUACCGAUAUACAUCUUAGAACUACUAUUAAUACAGUGAGCACUACUUCCUUUUCUCUUCAAUUCUAAUCUAUCAUGCUCUGAUAGCAUAUCAACAUGCAUUGCAUCAUUGUAGGAACCAUAUUUAGCAUGAAAUUUUUCAUGUCUUACAUAUUUCUGAUAUGAACGGGAUGACCUCUCAGAAUACAAUUUGUCACCAUGGUGCCUGACAGUUAACUGAUCCUCAGUCCAGUGUAGGACCGAGGAUCGCCAGUUAGAUCUUCUCCACUUAAACUGAUCACUCGGAUAAAUGAUAUCAUCAAUUUCAUCAGCAUCAUAACGAUUAUCAAACCAGUUACUCUCUUUGGAUUCAGCAGAGUAUAUUUCUCGUUCACGUCUCCCAUAUCUUUCAGCAGUUCUUGAGUAAGAAACAUCAUUUCUUGGUGAUAGAGAAUCAUUCCAUCUUCCUUCACCUGCAUGUAAAUCUCUGUACAACUGAUCGGACAAGUAUUGAUUUUCUCCAUGUCUGCAAUAUUCAUCUUCAAUUUUCCCAGACCAUGAAUCAUCCCAAUCAAAAACAGGUUUGUCAACAUAUCCAUCCCUUCCCCCUAAAUCUCUCCUGAGUCGAGGAAACUGCCAUUCAUCAAAUUCAUCCAAAGUAUUCCUUUUUCGGUCAGUAAAUGAAGCACGUCUCCCAAAUUUUUCUCCCACAAAGUCAUCUUCAUGUUUAUAACCGAAACAGCCACCACCAUGGUUGGGUAUUUUCUUAAACUGCAGUUUGUUGGCGUUCCUUUUAAAUUGUGCAUCCCUUUCUUUAACAGUGGGUGGGGAAUACUUGGAGUGCCAGCCUCUGGACUCCCUGCUCGGGAGAAGACUCCUCUCGUUAGGGAAUUGUGUUCUUCCAAAACGAUGCCAAUCUGUAUCCCUAUCUUCACAAAAAUACUCCCUUUCAUUCCAGUUUUUUCUGAAAAAUGGACCGACCUUGUCUUGGAUAUUGUGACUACCUUUUCUAUCCAAAUAAUUUGUUUUAGCAGUAUGAACGUGGUUGUCAGCAUGUCUUCUACCAUAAUGCCUUGAUUCUUUAUAAUCUGAAAUAUCUUCUCCAUCACUACAGCCAAAAUCUGGCAGAAUUUUCUUCCGUCUGCUAGAAUUCAAUGAGCUAUCUCUGUCAUAAAGGUCGUCCAUUUCUGAGGUGGGGGACGCAUCAUCAUUAAUAUGAAUCUUUGGUUCAACAACACUGUCAAGCCUCCUUUGCUGAUGUUUAUGCUCCUUUCGAGCAGGACUUUUAUGCAUGGAGUAAUCUUUGAUAUCAACUAUUUUUCUCUUGAUGCCAUUGCUUUUUGGGUUCUUAAAAGAUGAUGUGGCAGGAGUAUUAAUAUCUUCUGGAUCAAAAUGAACACUAUUCUUGGAUGCCUCAUAAUCACUUUCAAAGGAAGUGGGGCUAAGUUGAUCGUCAUCACCAAGUGAUAAUUGUGCUUCCAUCAUGCAUUGAUCAACAUAUAAAGUAUCCCCACCAACAUUGUCCUUUGUUUUAUUUGUAAUUUCUGUAGUCUCCAAUGAGACAGCAUUCCCCUGCCUAUAGUCGUACCCAUCCAGAUCAACAUACUGGUCAUUUCUUUGAUCAGAAUCUAUUGUCAUUGGAUGAGUGGCACUGAUCCUCCGGGAACAACUGAUGAUAUCACAGAAAACUAUAUGAAUUACAUGUGCCUUCAGAAAUCAUAAUUAACUUUAUAUAUGGAACCUAAUAAUUGAAAUAUUUAGGGCCCCACAUAUAACAGAAUACAAACCUGUCUGCUAUCCUUGUGUUUCCUUCUGGAGUUCCAACUGAUAAAUCAUCUUCUUUGGCAGGAAUAGUUCGGUUACCAUUAGCAUUACAUUCCACAUUUUCAGAUGCCUCAUGUGCCGUACAAUUUGUAUGGCCCUGUUCCUCACCAGAGUUCGUGGUUUCCUCAGUGCCGUCCUGCACCGCAAUCUGCCCAAUCAUGCAAUUAGUGAUAAAUGAAUAUAAGGUAGAUGCAACAAAUCCAUCUGACAAUUCAAAGUGAAAGCCAACCUGUAUCACAACAUCAGAAUCCAAACUACGUGGAUGCCUACCAUCAAAAGAUGGUUGGCGUUCAACCAUACUAUCUUCAAUCUGAAUUGCUCUUCCUUUUGGCUGAAGAAAUCAAGGGCCAAGUCAUAACAUCUCAAACCAAGUUUCUGAAUACAAGAAUCAGAGAAUAGUAAUAAACUGCGACAUACCAGUUCCAACUCUCUGAAACUGGAAUCAGAAUCUCUAGAUGGAGGAGCAAACUUUCUUGGUCCAGCAUUGUUCGUUUCUUUAUAAAUAGUUUCCUGGGCGAAUUUAUCAUACUCAGAUCCAGCUUCUUUAGCCUAUUUUAUGGAAGGAAGAUAUUAGUGGACAUGUCAACAUGUAAAAUUUGAAAUACUGUUAUGAUGAUAUAACAAGACUCCCACACGAUUCAAACUAAUAACCUGAUAAAGUUUUGAAGCUCUUGAGACAGGGAUCCUAAACUGCAUAGAUGUUAGCCGUAGUUGUUCCUGUGAUGAAUUUUAAGUAUUAGGAUUGUAUUUACUAAGAACUGUGUCUAAGAAAACAAAUGAGAACCGGUUGGCCAUAUGGCAAGACCAUUAAUGGCACAACCACAAGUUACAUUGCAUAGAAAGCUUCGGGAAAAAUCUAUUUCAACCUGCCAGAACAUCCAAAUGGGAACUAGAAGACUAGACUGAGACACUAUUUUUACAUCAUAAAUUUGUUUGCAAAGAUAAGCUAUUUCAUUUACCAGGGAGAUACAGUACUGUUUCCAACUGUCCUCUUUCAAACCGAAAUUGAAAUAAUCUGUUACAUCAACCUCAGGAUACCUCCAUGGCUUCUCCUCAAACGAUUCAAUGUUGACGUCAAGUAUGGUCCUGGAAUACAGAAAACAAGGACAACAAUGUGUCAUAGACUAUAGUUCAGUUCAACAUUACACAAAAAUAGUCAUUCUGCAUAUUUAAUAUUUUGUUUGUAAUCUACUAACCGGUACCAAGGAAGUCUGAAACCAUAUCUAUUUUGAGGCACCAUUUGAUUAGGUGUAUCACCAAUACAACUAAUCUGAGAGCUCAAACCCUUGCGUUGAUAGCACAAACUGUUUUCAUGGUCUCCUCUAACCGACAUGGAAGACGCUGAACCCACAGCCUCACUGCCCUUUCCAUUGCUUAGAGAAGUUGGUCCUUGAGUCCUUAUGUACUGCACAAAGCACCAAGCAUCUAUGAACAUGAACAAAUAGUUUUCAUUAUCGAAAGCAGAGAGAUUCCGUUUACACAGAAAGAUUCUGAAUACUAAAAAGUUUCUGUGACCACUGAUUGAAAAUCACUAGUUUCAAAUUGAUUUAGACAAAAAAGAUAAUACCUUGUACUCUUUCGUAGCCGGAAACCCAUCACUAUCCUCAUCCUCAUGCUCAUCAUUCUUCACGCGCCCUCGGCCGCCAUUUGGAAACACUUUGCCCUCACAGUCCUCAUCAUUCAGCACUAUUUUCAGGUCAUCCUCGCUAUCACUUCCACUGUAAUCCUCGUUCUCCUCCAAAGCAGAAACUUUCUCGCCCAACUCCUCGCAGUCAGAAUCGGUUCCAGGACUAGUGGUUUUCGCCUUUCCAUUAUCCUCACUGACAUCUUCUUCUGGUUCUGUGUAAAAGUGAGCGAAGUCCGGUGCGCCAUUCAUGGCCGAAUUGGCCUGCGCUUCGACGCCGGCAUAUAAAUCCCCGAAAUCAUCGUCAAAAUCCUCCAUAAAUUUGGAAACCUGGAACUGAAGAGGGGAAAUUUUCCUAGAAUUUUGCCUAACGGUGAUGGAGAACAGCCAUUGGCGACGAAAUGAUAAGCUUUGGAUGCUUUGAUGAAGCAAAGACUGGAGCUUGAAAUAGUUUCUGUGACAAAAACCCCCCCCUUAAACCCUGAACCCCUAAAACCCUAGUACGGCCACUGAUUAUUUAUUUUAUUAUUAUUUAUUUUAUUGGAUGGACUUACAAAUUAUGGCCCGCCUAAAAAACACAAAGAAACCGCUAAAAUUGCUGAUAUGUUUAUAUUAGGGCUCAAGCCUCAAACCAACAACACUGCUCACAAUCAAGAUGAUAAUUAACACUAAUGCGACACGGCAAAACCCGUGAACUUAACGGAUGUAUUCGUUUUUAAUAUUGGAUAAGCCUUAAUUUGAACAUGUCAGUUUUGUGUAGCAACAUGUCGUGUACGAUUCUUCUAUAAAUUAUAAAAAAUAACCGUUACGUAUUCAGUUUUCAUUAUAACACAAUUAAAUGUACCAAUAUUAAAAGUAAUCAUGACACCUUUUGUUUUCAUUAUAACGUGAUCAAAUACACCAUUAACUAUAUCUUAAAUCUAGAAUUUUACGGUGAAUUGUUUUCAUUGUGUUAUCCCACAAUUCCAACUUACCAAAUUUAAAUUAUAAUUUCCAUUUGCUCGGGGUUGGUUUGUUCAUGAUAGUUCACCUCACCCAACUUUUCCGAUUUACUGGAAAGGGAUUUAGUCAUACAUAACUUUGUCUCUAAAAUUUCAUGGGCAUUGGAGAUAGCCCUAUAGACAAAAUCUAAUUUGUGAUUUUCGAUAAUCUUUUUAUAAUAUUAGUGUUGACUUUUUUUUGGGGUAAAAUAGUGUUGACUUUUGUAAAAUUCUAGGUCCAUAAAUUAGCAAAAUAAAGUACAAUAGAAUAGAUAUUGAUAAAUUAUAUUCCACAGUCGCAGUGCUCUGAAGAAACCAAGAACUGGUGUGAGAUCGGUAUUGAGUUAAAGUUCACUUUUGGAUUUUUUAUUUUUUAUUUUUUUUGUUUUACAACAAUAUGUUACACUAAUGGAGGAAAGUUUUCGAUUUAAUCACACAAUAAAACUGUCAUAAUCAUGUUGUAUAAAACUCGUCAUCCAUAAAUUUCAAACCGGUAAUUAGCCACGAACUGCUGGUCCGUUUGCUGAAUCUUUACACCUCAUUCGCACCAAAAAUUGUAUUAUCAACUAAUUUCUUUUUAUUAUUCUUAAGCUGCAGAAUUGUGACUCAAAAUUAUCGUUAGGCCCUCAAAACUGUGACUCAAAGUGAUAUUCGACUCACAAAUUAACAAAAAUUAAACCUACAAAAAUAAAAAUACGUAUAGAAACAAGGUGCAACAUCUCCAUUACAAAACUGCGGAAAUCGAAACCCUAACCUCCGUUAUGUCAAACAAUUUCGGGUGUCGAAAUACCAUGAUAAGAACGAAAUGAAUCAUAUCAAAUAAUGAUAGCACAACGAUUACCACAACAAACUUACAUAUCAGAUUAGCUGCAUGGUCGUAUUUUGUCCACCCCACAUAUGGAACCUAUACCUAGAAAAUUUUAUCAAAACUCCCCCAUCCCCCACCGCAAAUUACAAACCAAAUCGGGAGAGGUGAAGGCGGGAAAACUGGAUGGGGGUCAUCAGAAGCCUAAAUGAUGUACUGCAAGAAGACGCUCAAACCAGCAACCAUGCUAUGCAGGAAUACUUCACAUUAGAUGGGGUCGCCCUUAGAUCUCCUGUUUCAGAAUCACGCUGGUGAUCCCUACAGAUGAUUUAGGCCGAUAAUGUUCAUCUGUAUCGACCUCUUCAAUUUCCUGAAUGGAAGACCGUAUGCAAAGCACUGUACAUUAGAUAUUAUCCAAGUCUAGGCAUGAUAAUAAAUUACCCAAGAUGCACAGAAUUUUAUACCUGUACCACUUCCUCUCCUUUGAUGACCCGUCCAAAGACAAUUAGCUUAUCAUUUAAAUCUGGUAUUGGUGCAGUUGUGAUAACAAGCUCAAAUCCUUUGUUGUCUGGUCUAGCCUUCGUAGUUCCAAGCAUAAAAGCUUCGUGCUUUGGACUACAGGUUCACACAGGCAAGAAUAAGCUAUCAGUUUUGCAACACAGGACCAACAGGGCACACAACAAAUAUAUAAGAUUUUUCUAUGAAACAAACCUCGUAACAAGUUGACCACGAAGUUUCCCCUUUGAUAUCCAAUCUUCAGCUGCUCCGAGUUCUUGGGAACCACCCCCUUUGAUUAUAUAGUGCUUGAUCACAUGACUGAAGGGCAUCCCCUUGAAGCGUCCCUUUUGACUGCAAAACUAAUGCCUUAGAAGUGCCUUGAGAGCAUAACACAAUAUUGCCCUUACAACCACAAGAACCAAGCAAGUCUAUUUCUGGUUGCUACUGCUAAUCAGAAUAUUGAAAUGAUAUCUAAUCGUCGAAGUUCUGAUUUUAUUUAUAUUUAGUGUACCAAUAAAACAUACACUUAGGACCUCAAUGUAGCCUAGAUACAAGUCAACCACGUAUCUGCAUCACCAAGGCUAUAGAAAUAACACAUAACCUUUAACUUGGUGUGUAUUUAAUAAUUCAAAAAGGAGCUACAACAAAAUAUAUGAAAUGGCUGAUAAGAAUACCCCUAAAAUGAGAACAUUUUUAUUAUUAGGAAGUUUCGUGUAUUGGUAAUUUAGCAACAGCUAUGUGCUAAGUCACCCCCUGUCCCAUAAUUUUAACUUUAUUCUCUUACACUGUAGAGAAAGAACUUCAAACCGAGAGAUGAUCUUCGACUACUAAACAUUCAUACUCACCAUAAGUCAAUAAAUCUAUCCACAACCUCUGGAGAAGCCUCCUUGAAAAGUUCCACUGUGAUAGGACCCUUUGAUGUAUUUAGAAUCUAAACAAUACACAAGGGGGAGGGAGAAGAAAGAGAGUGAAUAACUCGCAAGUUGGAAAAGCAGAAAGGUGAAUAAAACUAACGAAAACACCAACAGAAAGUAUAGGAAUGAAACGCCAGCAACUUAAACCAACACAGCAAUUCUAAUGUAUUAAAGUUUCCCAAAACUGAUGGCCAUCAGGUUAUAUCAAGCAAAUGCAUGAUGGCAUGCAAUGUCCACAACCCAGAUACCGUCUGAGAAAAGAAAUUUGUUGAUAAUUUUGCGGCCUAACAAAUUUAACCUCCACACCGAUACAACAACCACCCCGCUUCAUUAAUCCUAGAAAUAAAAAAUUGCAGGUUCAUGCAAUGUGACACCAAAGAGCAAAUUGGCAGUACAUCGAAUGUGUUAAGAACUUAAGAGACUUACAGCAUAACCCGGAAGAUCGUCCUUCUUUCCAAACACAUCAAUUUUCUGAAAAAACAAACAAAAAAAACCACCAAAUUUAGUCAACUACGCAUUUACUCAUAAUUAUUUUCCAAACAAGAAGAUUAAUUUAAUAAUUAAUUACACAAAUGGAAAAUACCCAAUUGAUAUUAAUACCUCUUGAUUAGAUAACUCCGACCCAGAUUGGUCCAGCGACCUAUGAGAGUAAAUUAGCGCGCAAAACAAAUAAGCAGCUGAAAUUAUCCAUAAUUAACACUAUAAUUACUUUCCAAACAAAUUAAAUUAUUAUUAUUUUUUUUUUGAAAAUACCAGUUGAAAUGUUACCUUCUGGACCAAUAGCGAUAAGUAGCGAUCAACGACAAGGCGACCAGAGCGAUGAUUAAAUUGCACAUAACUAUGGUAGUGGUACUGAUCCGAGUCGGCCCCUUCUUCUUCUUGCUCUGAAUUAACAGCGCCUGGGGCUUUAUCCGCGCCAUGAGCUUCGAAUUUUAACUCUAAUCACGAAAUCUGAAGAAGAAAAAAAAAAUAAAAAUUGGAUGGUGAAUCUUGAUCGCCAAAUCGAUGGGAAUCGAAGCCCUAGAAAUGAAGUGGAAUUUGAGAAGGUACCUUCGGGAUUUGGGGUGUGAAUCUGUGAUUGAAGAUUGACGGCGUGGAUUGAGUUGCAGUGAGGUUGAAAUGUUUAAAUCGGAGAGGGAGAGAGAGAAAGAGUAAACUUUGGUGGGCGGUUCGGUUUUAACCAGUCCGUUCGAAUUUUAUUUUAUUUUUUUGUGUGUGAUUUCAAAUGUUUUAAAUUGGUGGAAGUAGGUGGAGCCCACGUGAGAUUAUUCGCUGGAGAAAUGAGAACUUAUAUCUUCCGUGACGAAGGAAUGGACGUUCGUGAUUGAAACAGCUUGUUGAUUUUUGAGGUUUGGCGUUGGUAUAACAAUCUCUCUUCGGACUAGUUUGGAAUUAUUGUGUUUUUAUUCAAAAUAGUUAUUAUUGUGACGGAAGAAUAAUAGGUAAACGUUGGGUAAAUUAUAGUGUAAAGUGUUUUUAGGAAAAACGGCGCAUUAGGUUUAGGAAAAAGAAACAAGGGUAAGAUUGUUAAUAUGAAAAUUUUAUUAAUUGCCAUUUACCCGCCUCUUAUGAAAAAAAUAUAUGUUUUUUUUUAGAAGCAUAGAUAAAACUGCUUCUGCUUUCUGUUGUUUUAGACCCGUAAUUUAAAAAUAAAUAAAUACUUUUUUCAUUUUCCUUACAUAAUUUUAACUUCAACUUUUUUAAGAAACUGAUUUCGGAAAAAUUUAAGCAACUCAAAAUCAGCCCUAAUGUGAACCGUUGCACCUAAUCACCCUACUGAAGACGUUGCCAUGUACUUUUCACUAUUAGAGCAAUUCCACCCCUAAGACUUUGCGCAAGCACCCAGCGCAUUUAUCCACUCAAAUGAACAGUAAUAGGUCAAGGCAUCUCCACCCCUAAAAAAAUGCGCUGGCACAAACGAUCUCCAUCCUUACAAAAUGCGUUGGCACCCAGCCCAUUUAAAAUAUUUUCAAAUUUGUCUAAAAGAAUAAAAAAAUAAAAUAGUUUUAAUUUCGGAUAGGAUUUUUAACCAAUCUCGUCACGCCACAUGUCAUUAUCUGAACGUACUAUUUUGUGAAUAGAUUUCCGCUAAGAUUUUCAACCAAUCACGUCAUGCCACGUGUCAUUAUCUGAACGUACUAUUUUGUUGAUAUAUUUCCGAUAAUAUUUUCGACCAAUCCCGACAUGCCACUGUGAACACGGAAAAUUCCUGAAACGAAAGAGACAAGAACAACGCGCACAAACAAAUAUUUUGUAUUUGAUGAUUUUGGGUUACAAUCUCUCUCAAAUUUGAUCCUCUGAUUCGAUCUCCGUAAGGUGUUGAUUGGUGGGUGUUUCGUUGAUCCAAGGGCCGUCGAGGCUUAAUCUUGGAUGAACAGUUGGAAAUUUCUUCAAAGGGCCGUGGGCUUGAUCUUUGAAGGUGGAUUUGAGCGGAUCUUCAAGGGCUUUUGGGCUUGAUCUUGAAGAAACAGUGAUGAACAGAUCUUCAAGUGCUUUUGGGCUUAAUCUUGAAGAACGGUUGGAUGUGUGGAUUUGUCGACGUUUGUUGAUCCAAAAGGCCGUUGGGGCUUGAUCUUGGAAGAACGAUGAACGAAGAACACUUUCUUCAAGGGCCGUCAGGGCUUGAUCUUGAAGGUGGAUGAUUGUUGAUCCAAAGGGCCGUUGGGGCUUGAUCUUGGAUGAACGGAUGAUGAAUGAUGGUGAUUUCUUCAAGGGUCGUCGGGGCUUGAUCUUGAAUUGGUGGAUGAUUGUUGAUCCAAAGGGCCGUUGGGGCUUGAUCUUGGAAGAACGAUGAACGAAGAACGAAGAACGCUUUCUUCAAGGGCCGUCGGGGCUUGAUCUUGAAGGUGGAUGAUUGUUGAUCCAAGGGCCGUCGAGGCUUGAUCUUGGAAGAACGAUGAACGAAGAACGAAGAACACUUUCUUGAUUCUUCGGGAACCUGGAUGCUUGAGAGCUUCGGAGUUUCAGAGCUUCAGAGCUUCAGAGCUUCAAGGUGUAAUAUGAAUUGGUCCUCUCAAAUGAAUGAAAUGGGCUUGUAUUUAUAGAAUUUUCCAAGGCCUAAUUUUGAAUAUAAUAUUCCAGAUGAAAUAAGUCGUUUCUGCCAGGUGUUGACACGUGUCCUAUUUGAUGACUUUUCCAACUCAUUUCAAUUUUCGUUGAGUCACACGUUACGUGUAAAAUUUAUGUAAUACAUGAGCGUUGACACUUUGAUUUACCGGUCAACAUUUAUUUACCGAAAUUUCGAUGUCUACAAAUGCCCCCACUUCAAGGCACGUCGUAUACAUGUGCUUGUCACGUGUAGGAUAUGCGUUUUGAAGUCCCUUACUGUAGAUGUCGAUCCAAGGGCCGUCGAGGCUUGAUCUUGAAUUGGGCUGGAGAUUUCUUCAAGGGCCGUUGAGGCUUGAUCUUGAAUUGGGCUUGAGAUUUCUUCAAGGGCCGUUGAGGCUUGUUCUUGAACUUUUGUUUGAAAUUUCUUCAAGGGCCUUCGAGACUUGAUCUUGAAGGUUGAAAUUGGACCACAAGGAGCUUCAUGUGGUAAAUGAUCUUUGGCUUUGGUAGUGGGUGAAUUGGCACAUACUUUUGUUGUGCUUGUUGACUUUCCACAGCUUUGAUCUUGAACUGGGUUGGAGGAUUUUCUGGAUUCCUCCAAUUGUUUAUUUUCCACAGCUUAUUCUUAAACUAGGUUUUGAUUCAAGGGUGGUAAACACUUAAUCUUGAAUCGGACUUGUGAUUUCCUCAAGGGCCGUCGAGGCUUGAUCUUGAAUUUGGCUGGAAACUUCUUCAAGGGCCGUUGAGGCUUGAUUCUUGAAAGUUGACUCGAACACAUGGCAAGCAGGCACGAGGUAAAGGUGACAACCUGUUUCUUUGUUCAAUCUUUCUAAUUCACACCUAAGCAGUUUGGUCAACGGUAUGAUCUUCAAGAUUGAUGAACUCUUCUUCCAGUUGGUGACUUGAUCUUUAAGGAUUCGAUUCAAGGGUGCUGAAUCGGCACGUGCAGCCCACAACGCCUAGUAAGUCGACCCAAGAAUUUGAGGGUCAAAACAAGUUCACCGUCCUCAGGCAGAUGCGACAUCUUCUCGAGUUCUUCAUCUCAGACUCUUUCUGCUGAGUUGACUGUGCAUGCUGCAUUCUUCUCUGCUUGUUUCUUCAGGCAGAUAUGGCAGCUUCUUGAGUUCCUUAGUUCGGACUCCUUCUGCUGAGUUGACCGUGCAGACCGCAUUCUUCUCUGCUUGUUCCUUCUGCACCUUGUCUCCACAUGCUGCAAGGUAUCAUUUUCACUUGCCUUAUCUGUUCUUCAGGCAGAUGUGGCAGCUUCUUUGAAAGUACAGCAGCAGUGGAAGGCGAGUACUCGAUAGCAGUGCUAGGUAGGCAAUCAGGGGAGGGUUCCAAGCAGUCGGUUCCUUACCCGAGUUUGAGUGGAAGUUCCGGCAUAUUGUUUUCUUUAUCCUUGUCUUUGUAGGUAAGAACAAGGACAAAGGAAAGGACAGGGAGAACGCAUGAUAUGAGAUACUCUUACUUUCUACCCUGGUGAUAUGAGAUACUUUUGCUUUGGAGUCAUUGGCUUGCAGAGGUACCCCAAGGAAUAAGGAACACUGGGUAACUCAAGAGGCUUCGUUGGGAAGGCAUUCUCAUAGAUGAAGAAAGGUUCUGUAUGUCUGCCUUGCUAUGGAGGGUGAAGAUGGACAGUUAUAGGAAUUUCUUUAACACUUGUAGAUGUACUAUUCUUUCACUCGUGUCGACAACCGUUGGAUGAUUGAACAGUAUACUUCAUGUGCUUUCUCCUUCACCGAAAAUCUUCGACAAAUUGCCCGUGAUUUUUGCCAAGCUGAGUGUGCAUGUGACAGGUGUUGACGCGGCUGAAAAAGACUGGCGCCUCUUCGAUAUCUGGGAUCGGUGCUUCGACAAAUUGCCCGUGAUUUUCGCAAAGCUGAGUUUGCGUGUGACGGGUGCCGACGCGUCUGGAAAAGCAAGAUGCUUCUCCGAUUUCUGAGCUUGCCUCUUCGAUUUUUGAAUGGCAUCUUCGAAUUCUGAGAUCGCCUCUUCGAUCUCUAAAAUCCCGUCGAGUGCUAAUUUUUUAUAAAGGCACGCUGUUCGUUUCAAAGCACACUUGAAUUUUACUUGUGAAAACUCUCUUCUUGUACUUCUAAGAUCUUGAUUUGUCCGAUCUCUUCUUCCUUCAACACUUUGAAAAUGUCUGGACCCUCCGACCGUCGUUUUGACUUGAAUCUUGGUGAAGAGGCAGUCCCACCUUCUCCAGACAACAUAUGGCGCCCAUCCUUCAUAUCCCCUACUGGUCCUCUUACCGUUGGGGAUUCAGUGGUGAAGAAUGAUAUGACCGCUGCGGUGGUGGCCCGAAACCUUGUCACUCCCAGAGAUAACAGACUACUUUCCAAACGGUCUGAUGAGUUGGCUGUUAAGGAUUCUCUGGCUCUUAGUGUGCAGUGUGCAGGUUCAGUGUCUAAUAUGGCCCAACGCCUAUUUGCUCGAACCCGUCAAGUUGAAUCAUUGGCAGCUGAGGUGAUGAUUCUCAAACAAGAGAUUAGAGGGCUCAAGCAGGAGAAUAAACAGUUGCAUAAGCUCGCCCAUAGCUAUGCGACAAACAUGAAGAGGAAGAUUGACCAGAUGCAGGAAUCUGAUGGUCAGAUUUUACUUGAUCAUCAGAGGUUUGUGGGUUUGUUCCAGCAGCAUUUGCCUUCGUCUUCUGGGGCUGUGCCGCGUAAUGAAGCCUUAAAUGAUCAACCUUCGGUGCCUCUUCUUCCUGGAGUUCCGCCGAGUGGUGUGACUUCAAACAGUCAACCUCCGACGUCUCUUUUUCCUAGAGCUCCGCCGAGUACUGAGACACCACCUGAGCAUGAAGACUCCUUCCCGUUUGUUUGCACAUUUGUAAAUUUUUUUUUUUUUUUGUAUGUAGAAUGCAAUUUUAUGUAAUCUUUCCAGAGAAAUAAAUAAAAUAGAUUUUAUUUCUCUCAAUGUAAUUUUUUUUUAAUUAAUUUUUUUUUAUAUAUAGAAAUAAAUAAAAUGAACUUUAUUUCUCUCAAUGCAAUUAUUAUAUAUAUAAUUUUUAUACAUAUUACAUUAUAUAUAUAUGCACACACCGCACCAUCAUGACCCCCUUUUUUUUUAAUUAUAUAUAUAUAUAUAUUUUUUUUUUUUACUUUCGGUGCUAGCCACAACCACUUUCUUUUGCCUGCACCAUUCUAUAUCUUUUCAUUAUUUUUUCUUUCAUGGUGCUGGCACCACCUUUGCUUUUCCCCUUUUUUUUAUUUUUUUAUUUUUUUUAUAUUUUUUCUUUGCUUUCGGUGCCUGGUGCACCAUGUCUCUUAUUUUCCUUUUUUUUUAUAUUGUAAUUUUUUAUAUGCACAUAUACAUACAUACGUACAUACAUAUACAUACAUAUAUAUAUAUAUAUAGGAUGCGGGAUAGGAUGGAGAGAAGGCAGGGAGGAGCCUGGUGGAUGAAGAUGGUGGCUUUGUGGCUGCGGAGGAUUGCGUGGGCGGCCAUGGAAGAGCGAGGCCCUGUCGGUGCAGCUCCGUGAAGAACGCCCCGCCCCAACACUCGAUGCCACGCUUACCGUGCACAUGAUGUUCCCUCUCAUGCCGCCAUCCCGCGGACGUUGACCGCCAUGAGCUUGUCGUAGUUGGAGAGGGAGGGAGCGACGAUAUUGGAGAUGUCAAGGUGGUCCAAAGCCGAGCAAUGGAGAAGUUGCUGGGGGACAGGUCCAAAUGUUCCGGUUUCUGCAAGUGGAGGAAGAAGGAGGAGCACACUCACGCUCGACACGGUGUUGUAUCGUGAGACAACCAACGAUCUGACGGUGGAGAGCAACCGGGGAUUGCAGGUGUGAAACUGAAGUUUGAAGAUGGUGAUGGUGAGGAGGAGGUCCGAUCUGCCAUUGAUUCUCUCGCGGUGGUUCCACGCUUCGUCGUCUAGGGACACGACCGCUACCUGUAGAGCAGAAAAGGUGGCGUUGAGGAGCUUGGUGGAGAUCCUGGCGUCACGUUGCUUGGGGCGCGUUUCCUGCUGUAACGGCGUCCUCGCACUCAGCGCUGCUGAGCCGGGUCUUCCCGAGAGAUCCGUCGCUGUCGCUGGCUCUUAUGGUGGACAGGCGUUGUGGCGGGUGGUCUUGAUUUGGAUCCGACUUGCUGCAACUUGAGAGAGGAAAGAAAGCCGGAGCGGACACCGAGGGAGACGAUGGUUUGGGAUAUUAAUGGCUCCGGCAGAGGAUUGGAGGACCAUGACGGGCUCCUUUUAGAUCUCAUGUUGGAGAGCGUUGGGUCGACCAAACCCGAGACCAGCAGCGGCGGAAUCUCUUCAGGGCUGCUUGCCGUCAUCUGCGAGACCUCACCGGGGCCAGCUUCUGCUUGGGGACGAUCCUGCAGUGAUGAAGGUGCACUUGGUAAGGCGGAGUGCCAAGACCGGCUAGUUGUUUUGACAGCAGUCAGGCGGAUGAUGCAGAGUUGAGAUGCCUGAGCAGGUUCGAAAGCAAUGGAGCUUCAGCAACGGAGGGCACGGCCAUGAAGUUUGGAUGGAGAACAUGACGAUGGAGAAGAAGAUGGCUGUGGAGAUGGCACGACGUGGCGUAGUGGAGUGGAGAGAGA